UGCAUAUCAAUAAGCGGAGGAAAAGAAACUAACAAGGAUUCCCCUAGUAACUGCGAGUGAAGCGGGAAAAGCUCAAAUUUAAAAUCUGGCAUGCCUUUGGCUGUCCGAGUUGUAGUCUGGAGAAGUGUUUUCUGUGCCGGACCGUGUACAAGUCCCUUGGAACAGGGCCUCAUAGAGGGUGAGAAUCCCGUCUUUGACAUGGACUGCCGGUGCUCUGUGAUGCGCUCUCAACGAGUCGAGUUGUUUGGGAAUGCAGCUCAAAAUGGGUGGUAAAUUCCAUCUAAAGCUAAAUAUAGGCGAGAGACCGAUAGCGAACAAGUACCGUGAGGGAAAGAUGAAAAGCACUUUGGAAAGAGAGUUAAACAGUACGUGAAAUUGCUGAAAGGGAAACGCUUGAAGUCAGUCAUGUCUGCCAGGACUCAGCCUUGCAUUUUUGCUUGGUGCACUUUCUGGUUGACGGGCCAGUGUCGAUUUUGACUGUUGGAGAAAGGUGGAGGAAAUGUGGCACCUUUCGAGGUGUGUUAUAGUCCUCUGCUGUAUGUGACGGUUGGGAUCGAGGACCGCAGCAUGCCUUUAUGGCCGGGGGUCACACCCACGUUACGUGCUUAGGAUGCUGGCUUAAUGGCUUUAAGCGACCCGUCUUGAAACACGGACCA
rnacentral:rRNA from 1 species